CCUACGGGUGGCUGCAGUGGGGAAUAUUGGACAAUGGGGGGAACCCUGAUCCAGCCAUGCCGCGUGUGUGAAGAAGGCCCUCGGGUUGUAAAGCACUUUCAGUGAGGAAGAACGCCUGGUGGUUAAUACCCAUCAGGAAAGACAUCACUCACAGAAGAAGCACCGGCUAACUCCGUGCCAGCAGCCGCGGUAAUACGGAGGGUGCGAGCGUUAAUCGGAAUUACUGGGCGUAAAGCGCGCGUAGGUGGCUUGAUAAGCCGGUUGUGAAAGCCCCGGGCUCAACCUGGGAACGGCAUCCGGAACUGUCAAGCUAGAGUGCAGGAGAGGAAGGUAGAAUUCCCGGUGUAGCGGUGAAAUGCGUAGAGAUCGGGAGGAAUACCAGUGGCGAAGGCGGCCUACUGGACUGACACUGACACUGAGGUGCGAAAGCGUGGGUAGCAAACAGGAUUAGAUACCCUAGUAGUC
rnacentral:rRNA from 1 species